CAAAAACAUGUCUCUUUGUAAAAUAUAAAUAGAGAGUCGGGCCUGCUCGGUGAAUAAGUUUUUAACAGCUGCGGUAUUUUAACUGUACUAAGGUAGCAUAAUAAUUUGCCUUAUAAUUUGAGGCUAGAAUGAAUGGUUUGACGAAGGUUAAUCUGUCUCCAUCUUAUUUUUUAGAAGUUAAUUUUUAAAGUGAAAAAGCUUAAAUUUUUCAAAGGGACGAGAAGACCCUAAUGAGCUUAUAAUUUUAUUAUCAUUAUUUAAAACAUUUAGGUGGUGGUAUAUAAAUUUUAAUUGGGGUGAUUAAGGAAUAAAUUGUGUAUAGUAACUUCCUUAAAUUAGGUAUUUGUAGAUAAAGUAACCAAUGUAAUAUUGCUUAUAGUAUAGUUACCAUAGGGAUAACAGCGUAAUUUGUUUAGAGAGUUCUUAUUGAAAAACGAGAUUGCGACCUCGAUGUUGGAUUAAAGUAACCCUAAGGUGCAGAAGCUUUAGUAGGUAAAUCUGUUCGA
rnacentral:rRNA from 1 species